rnacentral:rRNA from 1 species
CCUACGGGACGCAGCAGUGGGGGAUAUUGCACAAUGGGGGAAACCCUGAUGCAGCGACGCCGCGUGUGGGAAGACGGUCCUCUGGAUUUUAAACCACUGUCCCCAGGGACGAAGAUGACGGUACCUGGGGAGGAAGCUCCGGCUAACCACGCGCCAGAAGCCGCGGUAAAACGUAGGGAGCAAGCGUUGUCCGGAAUUACUGGGUGUAAAGGGAGCGUAGGCGGGAUGGCAAGAUGGGUGUUAAAUCUACCGUCUCAACUGGUAGUCGCACUCAAAACUGCUAGUCUUGAGUGAAGUAGAGGCAGGCGGAAUUCCGAGUGUAGCGGUGAAAUGCGUAGAUAUCAGGAGGAACACCAGUGGCGAAGGCGGCCUGCUGGGCUUUUACUGACGCUGAGGCUCGAAAGUGUGGGGAGCAAACAGGAUUAGAUACCCGAGUAGUC